GUGCUUGCUUCGGCAGCACAAAUACUAAAAUUGGAACGAUACAGAGAUUAGCAUGGCCCCUGUGCAAGGAUGACACGCAAAUUUGUGAAGCAAAAACCUUCUAG